GACAACAGCAACUGUCGAUAGGCCUUGUCCGGACCCCUACGGGACCCAAACUUUGCCUAUGACUUUGAUUGCAGGAAGACUUCGCCCUGACCCCUACGAGAGCCAGGCUACUCCAACUUCAGGAGGGCUUCUCCGUUCGGACUCCCAAGGGAGCCGAACUUAGCUCCGACUUCAGCAGAGAAAAAACCCAAGCAAAAAAAG
rnacentral:lncRNA from 1 species